rnacentral:rRNA from 1 species
GACGAACGCUGGCGGCGUGCCUAACACAUGCAAGUCGAGCGGAAAUGACCGAGAGAAUUAUCUUGAGGUUAUUUUAGCGGCGGACGGGUGAGUAACACGUGGGCAACCUGCCCUGUACAGGGGGAUAACACUGGGAAACUAGUGCUAAUACCGCAUAAAACGGAUAUAUGGCAUCAUAUAACCGUCAAAGGAGAAAUCCGGUACAGGAUGGGCCCGCGUCCGAUUAGCUAGUUGGUGAGGUAACGGCCCACCAAGGCGACGAUCGGUAGCCGGAUUGAGAGGUUGACCGGCCACAUUGGGACUGAGACACGGCCCAGACUCCUACGGGAGGCAGCAGUGGGGAAUAUUGCACAAUGGGGGAAACCCUGAUGCAGCGACGCCGCGUGAAGGAAGAAGGUCUUCGGAUUGUAAACUUCUUUGAUUGGGGACGAAGAAUGACGGUACCCAAGGAACAAGCCACGGCUAACUACGUG